AUUCACCCGCUUCGAAGCCAGGAAUUGAAACCCAAGCCGGCUACCUGUUAGUGGAGCCCCAGACACGGACGGGAAAGGCGUGCGUGAGUGAGUGCACCCGUGGAAGAGGUAACGGACCCCUUCAGCGGACUGUGGCGGUGGUGUGGCAACCCAGAUGGACUGGCUCGCUCCCUUACCACCAACCAAACCUGCGUUCCCUGGCUGCAGGCUGGUGUGUGGAGGCAUCGCAGCGCCUGCAGGUGUGGGUGACGGGUGUGGUGUGAAGACACAGCUCGAGGAAACCAACGCACCAAGUUGAAGGGACUGGCCUGGGACUGAACAAAGUAAGACGACACAGACGGCCAAGAGGAGAGGAGCUUGAUAUAGCGACAGACACGUAGGGCCCACAAGAGAAGAAAUGAAACACUACCACUGCCUUGGAGGAACAUAUUGACGAGUGGACUUAGAAGGAAGGAGUCGGCGUCGUAGCGGUAACUUGGAUGGAAGUCUGUACGUGUCUGCCAUAAGAGGACAUCGCUUUCACGCAGACACACUCAAGAAACUGACACGAGUAGGCAUAGUACGACGGACACAUGUUAAUGGGCGUAGAUGAAUAAAUGUAGAAUUAUGUAUUUGGUGCAAAUAUAACAUACUUGUGCAAAUGUAACAUAAGUGGUGAG
rnacentral:lncRNA from 1 species